AGAAGAUAUGGUCACAAAACCUGACUUGAACUCAGGAAUAGGGCGUUCAACUCGCCCAUCUUCUU
rnacentral:tRNA from 1 species